GGUCAGUGAUGAUAAGUAAAAGGUCUGAUGGCACUUUAUUAAAUGCCCACAUGUCUGCUCACUCCCAGGAGAUCCUACGUUUCCCAUCCUGCUCAAGGUGUGCUGUGAUGGUUAGUGGAGUUCCUGACAGUAACUUAUGCCACUGAUUUAGUUGACACUCUUGCAGAGGAAUGUGGAGUGUCUUUUUAAAGGGCAUCUCACAGAACUGGUAGCCCAGGAGCUUUGGGUAUUGUGGGCAUUUAUUUCUGGUGCAUGACUGCAAGUUUUCAAGCUGAGACC